GAUGAACGCUGGCGGCGUGCUUAACACAUGCAAGUCGAACGGAAAGGCCUCAGCUUGCUGGGGUACUCGAGUGGCGAACGGGUGAGUAACACGUGGGUGAUCUGCCCUGCACUUUGGGAUAAGCUUGGGAAACUGGGUCUAAUACCGAAUAUGACCACUUCUUGGAUGUUGUGGUGGAAAGCUUUUGCGGUGUGGGAUGAGCCUGCGGCCUAUCAGCUUGUUGGUGGGGUAAUGGCCUACCAAGGCGGCGACGGGUAUCCGGCCUGAGAGGGUGUACGGACACAUUGGGACUGAGAUACGGCCUAGACUCCUACGGGAGGCAGCAGUGGGGAAUAUUGCACAAUGGGCGCAAGCCUGAUGCAGCGACGCGGCGUGGGGGAUGAAGGCCUUCGGGUUGUAAACUCCUUUCGCUAUCGACGAAGCCACUUGUGGUGACGGUAGGUAGAUAAGAAGCACCGGCUAACUACGUGCCAGCAGCCGCCGUAA
rnacentral:rRNA from 1 species